rnacentral:rRNA from 1 species
AGCUUAUUGAAUUUUUAGUAAGUAUUUUCUGCCCGGUGAGAAGUUUAACGGCCGCAGUAUCUUGACUGUGCAAAGGUAGCAUAAUCAUUUGUUUUUUAAUUGGGGACUGGAAUGAAUGGGAGUACAUAGAAGAGAUUGUCUCUUUUUUUUUAUUUGAAUUUUCCUUUUAGAUGAAGAGGUCUAAAUUUUAUAAAAAGACGAGAAGACCCUAUUGAGUUUAAUAAGAUUUCUUUAAUUUUUUUAUUUUUAUUUAUUUAGUUGGGGCAACUUAGGAGGAAGAAAAUUCUCUUUAAUUUCAUUUUGAUCCGGUAUUACCGAUCAGUAGAAUAAAUUACCAUAGGGAUAACAGCGUAAUUUUUUUGGAGAGUUCUUAUCGAUAGAGAAGAUUGCGACCUCGAUGUUGGAUUAAAGAUUCCCGGGGGUGUAGAAGUUCCUGAUGGAGGGUCUGUUCGACCCUUAAUUCUUU